rnacentral:lncRNA from 1 species
UUCAAAAAAUAAAACAGAAGAAACAACAAAAAAACCAAAACCAAACAAAAAACCUGAGAAAAAGAAAAAAGAAAGGACAAAAAUUCAUUAAACAACUCACAAAGCAUGGGCACACACACUCACAAACAAAAUGCCAACACCAUGGAGUCCCUUUCAUGUUGGCCAAGCACUCCUGCGAAUGGAACCUUCCCUGGGAGUGUGGUAGAUAGAUCCAGUAACACUCCUUUGGAGAAAACUGCUUUUCUGCUUCCCAGAAACUAUCAAUCAGUUGCAAAUAGGUCCUUGGUUAGGGUUGGGACUUUGUAUCUUGUCCUCGUUGCUGGGACUUUGGUUGAAUCUAUGGAGUCUUGUGUGUACUGCCACAGUCUAUGAGUUGUGUCUGUAAGAAGCUGUUUUCUUUAGAACCAUUCACCAGAUUCUUUCUGCCUCUGCUUCUACAUAGAUCUCUGAGCCUUAAGGGGAGGGCUCUGACAAAGACAUCCCACUUAGGGCUUAAGUGCUCAUAAGUCUCUCACUGUUUGCCCAGUUGUGCAUCUACUUAUUGGUUACCAUCGACUGCAAGAAGCAGCUUUUCUAUGGAGGGUUGAACAAUGCUCUAUGGGUAUAGCAGGUCAUUAGGAGUCAUUUGAUUGCUAUGUUCCUUUAACAGAACAAUCGGUUUUCAUCUAGACCUGCCACCAAUCCAGUGUCAGGUUACUGGGCACUUUAGCAGUAUCAUGUUUAGGUUCCACAUUAUGCCACCACCACACCAGUAUGUCUUUCAGGUUUGUUGUAUGUAGCAAGGUUUGUAGCCAGGUGAAAUUGGUCAUAACUUUUCUCCUCUAGUAGCUGACAAAGUACCUUGUAGUACCAUGAAUCAGUAAGUGGGAGUGAAGCUUCUCAUACAGCAGCUUGAGUUCUGCAAGCUUGAUGAGAUAAGUUGUGUCUUCAGCAAUAAUGCCUUACCAUCAUGUUAGUGAAGAGUAACCAAUAGGUUUGGCAAAAGCCUGUAAUGGUUUAUGGGGAGGAGGCCUAGCUAGAGAGCUAUUUUGGCCAGUGAUUUAAAAGAUGUAACCCAUUCCUAACACUAGAGGUUUUACUUGCUGGUAUGUCUUGUUGGGACAUUCUCUUCCAUUAUAUGCUGACGCUGUUUAAAUUCCUUUCAUAUAUGUAUAUUAGCAAGCCUCUACAAUGUUUCUAUGUGGCUUUUCAAAAGGCCUUCAGUGUUGUCUCUCUCCAUAGUCCCACCUUUCCCCUGCCUUACAUUCUUCCCCUCAUCUUAGUCCUCCUAUCUUGGCUUCCCUUUUGUCCCUUUACAACACUAGAUUCUAUUUGGUUCUUAGUGUGAAGAUUGUCUCCCCUCCCCUGGUCCCUCACUCGCUAUUUAACCUCAAUGGUUAUUCAUAUUGAAACACAUAGCUAAAACACAAAGUUAACAUCCAGAUAUAAGAGAAAAUGUGAUAUUUGUCUUUUUGGCCUAGAUUACUUCAGUCAGAAUGGUGGUUGCUAGCUGCAUUAAUUUGUCUGAAAAUUUCGCAAUUUUUUUCUUUAAAAUUGAAUAGUGAUGUAUUUUUGUGUAAAUACACCACAUUUUUAUUGCCCACUCAUCACUUGCUGGCCAUCUAAGCUAUUUCCAGUUUCUGCUGUAAUGGAUAGAAAAACAAUGAACAUGGAUGAGCAAGUUCCCAAGAGUGGUGUGGCUAGAUCUUGUGGAAGAUCUAUUGCUACCUUCUGGCAGAGCUACCAUUCUGAUGUUUGUAGUGGCCAUAGCAAUUUGCACCUCCAUCAGCAAGGAUUAAGUGUUCCCUCUUUCCUGCAUUCUUGCCAGCACAUGCUGCCGUUUGUUGUUGUAUUGAUCAUGGCCAUCCUGACUGGGGUAAGAUGAAAUCCCAAAGUAGUUUUAAGUUGUAUUUCCUUGAUGGCUAAGGAUGUUGAACAUUUUUAAAAAGUGUUUUUUUUUUCCAGUCAUUUGCAUUUCCUCUUGUGAGAACUCUAUUAUAUACCCCAGUUUUUAAUGGGGUUAUUUGUCUGAUGUUCAUUUUUCUGUUCUUUAUAUAGUAUUGAAACUAAUCAUUUAGCAGAUCGUAAUUAAUUAAAGAUUCUUUUUCCCUUCUGCAGGGUGCUACUUUUCUUGAAUGAUGGUGUCCUUUGCUUGUUACUGAAACUUUUUAGCUUCAUGAGAUCCCAUUGUUGUUCUUAAGGCCGGUGCUAUUGGCAGCCUGUUCAGAAAAUCUGUACCAAUGGGUCCGAGACUUUUCCCCACUUCCUCUUCUGUCAGGUUUCUCUUCUGUCAGGUUUAGGGUAUCUGGUUUUACUUCGAAGUAUUAGAUCCAGUUAGAGUUGAGCUUUAUGCAGGUUGAUAGACAGUGUGAUCCAUUUUUAUUCUUCUAAAUGCAGCUAUCUAGUUUGAUCAACACCAUUUCUUGAAGAUGUUGUCUUUUCUUCAGUGUAUAUUUUUGGUUUCUUUGUUAAAAAUCAGGUGUCUGUAUGUAUGUCAAGUUAUGUCUGACUUUUCAGUUCUGUUCUGUACUGUUCAUAUGUGUAUGUGUGUCUAGUUGUCUUAAGUUUAUCUUGCCUACAGCUCCUUAUGUAGACCAGGCUGCCCUCCAAUUCACAGAGAUCUACCUUCCUCUGCCUCUCGAGUGCUGGCAUUAAAGGUGUGCAUUACCCAGU